GAACAAAACGACGACGAUGACGAGAACAUGAUCAACUUUCCGGAAGAUGAAGAUGAAGAAGGCGCGGAUGUAGAUUCUGAGGACGAGUUGCGUGACCCCAAUGAACACCCCGCUACCAAUGUUAUCCGCUACCGGAAAAAUGUUCCAUUUUUACCUCAAGUUACUGAUUAUGAGGAACCGGAGGUGUUCCUAAAAUUGGAUUUUGGGAUUA